UCCUAGUUAACCUAGGCAGUCUCAUUAGAGUUCCCACCUUAAGUGUUGGCAACUAAUGAUAAGGGUUGCGCUCGUUGCGGGACUUAACCCAACACCUCACGGCACGAGCUGACGACAGCCAUGCAGCACCUAUAUAGAGACCCUUGCGGGAGAUCCUCUUUCAAGGACUGUCCUCUAUACUUCGAGCCUGGGUAAGGUUCUGCGCGUUGCAUCGAAUUAAACCACAUGCUCCACUGCUUGUGCGGGCCCCCGUCAAUUUUUUUGAGUUUCACCCUUGCGAGCGUACUCCUCAGGCGGUAUACUUAUCGCGUUAGCUACGACACAAUCGGGGUUGAGACCAAUUACAUCAAGUAUACAUCGUUUACGGCAAGGACUAC
rnacentral:misc_RNA from 1 species